rnacentral:rRNA from 1 species
CACGUAGGGGGCAAGCGUUGUCCGGAUUUAUUGGGCGUAAAGAGCUCGUAGGCGGUUCGGUAAGUUGGGUGUGAAACCUCCAGGCUCAACCUGGAGACGCCACCCGAUACUGCUGUGACUAGAGUCCGGUAGGGGAGCGUGGAAUUCCUGGUGUAGCGGUGAAAUGCGUAGAGAUCGGGAGGAACACCCGUGGCGAAGGCGGCCAUCUGGACCAGUACUGACGCUGAGGCACGAAAGCGUGGGGAGCAAACAGG